rnacentral:rRNA from 1 species
AAAGGCGCUUUCGGGUGUCGCUGAUGGAUGGACCCGCGGUGCAUUAGCUAGUUGGUGAGGUAACGGCUCACCAAGGCCACGAUGCAUAGCCGACCUGAGAGGGUGAUCGGCCACAUUGGGACUGAGACACGGCCCAAACUCCUACGGGAGGCAGCAGUAGGGAAUCUUCGGCAAUGGACGAAAGUCUGACCGAGCAACGCCGCGUGAGUGAAGAAGGUUUUCGGAUCGUAAAACUCUGUUGUUAGAGAAGAACAAGGAUGAGAGUAACUGUUCAUCCCUUGACGGUAUCUAACCAGAAAGCCACGGCUAACUACGUGCCAGCAGCCGCGGUAAUACGUAGGUGGCAAGCGUUGUCCGGAUUUAUUGGGCGUAAAGCGAGCGCAGGCGGUUUCUUAAGUCUGA